rnacentral:rRNA from 1 species
UGGGGAAUCUUGCACAAUGGGCGAAAGCCUGAUGCAGCGACGCCGCGUGGAGGAUGAAGGCCUUCGGGUCGUAAACUCCUGUCUGGGGGGAUGAACACUGACAGUACCCCCGGAGGAAGCCCCGGCUAACUACGUGCCAGCAGCCGCGGUAAUACGUAGGGGGCGAGCGUUGUCCGGAAUUACUGGGCGUAAAGCGCGCGCAGGCGGCCUAUUAAGUCAGGUGUUAAAAUGCGGAGCUUAACUCCGUAUCGCACUUGAAACUGGUAGGCUUGAGUGCAGGAGAGGGAAGUGGAAUUCCCAGUGUAGCGGUGAAAUGCGUAGAUAUUGGGAGGAACACCAGUGGCGAAGGCGACUUCCUGGACUGUAACUGACGCUCAGGCGCGAAAGCUAGGGGAGCAAACAGG